rnacentral:lncRNA from 1 species
AUCAGAUGGGCAUGUGUAUAACUACCUAAACAUACUGAGCAUGUUCAAUUCCCAAAGUUUCAGGUUUUAGGAUGACCAGUGAGAUGAUCAGAACUUCAGAACCUUCCAAGGUGAUGGGUCAUUCAAGCUCCAGGAACGUCAAGGCCUCAACAGUUUGGACAUAAUUUUAAGCAACACAUAUAAGACCCACAGGUCUCCACUGAUAUGACUGGGGAUCUCAUGAAGAAACUACUCGACAAAGACAGAUACUGGAGGUAUCGUACCCAGUGCCAAAGGCAGAUAUAUUCCCAGAGGGAAGGAAAAUCAAGCUCUAAAGGGGAUCAGUCUGUCCUCCCAUUCUGGUCAUAAGUAUUGCACCUAGGACUGAGCAAACAUAUUUCUCUUCGUCCUAUUUCUGCGCAGUUGUGGGAUUUUGAGCAUGCCUCACAAUCCCUCCGAGUUCUAAUCACUGAGUGAACAUAUUUCUGUUUGUCCUAUUUUUGCGCAGUUGUGGGAUUUUGAGCAUGCCUCGCAAUCCCUCUGAGUUCCAAUCACUAGAUUUUGUAACCCUGGAUUUCUGGUGCCUGCCCUGCCUUUCUUACAUAGUACAUAUAAGGGUCAAAGAGUCUAGUGAGAUAAUGUAUGUAAGUGUUUUUGUAAAUUAAAAGUUA